rnacentral:sRNA from 1 species
UUGCUAUCUGCGAUAUGGAAGAUUCGAACCUGCCGCAGGUUCGGGUCGAACGCAGUGAGACAACGGAGCCGUUUACGGCGACGGCCCGAAGGGCGAGCGAAGCGAGUCAUCCUGCAUGACCCACCA